rnacentral:lncRNA from 1 species
GCGCGCGGCCGCCGCCGCCACCCGGCCCUGCACUUCCACCUCCGGCGACGCCCGGGCCUCCUCGAGGGUUCGGCUUCCCCCGCUGGCGCUCAGCUCCCUCUGGCGGCGGGGCGAGCGGGAAUUCAACCCUUCCACCUUGUCACGUCCAGUCCAGAAUGAAGAAGCCUGAAGUUGGGAAACCUGAAUUUACCAACUGUUAAGGUGUACCCUUCUACUCGGAAGUCAGAGUUGGUGCCACCUAAGUGGGUUCCUGAUGCAGGGGAUUUGAGGACAUCCUCUUCCUUCAACUGUAAGUCACCAAGGGCUCUGGACAUUGUGAAAAUUUCCCUUUCAGUUAUUUUUUUUUCAUUUUUUAUUAUAUUCCUCACUGAAUUUUAUUACAUUUAUAGUUGUACAAAAUUUCCCUUUCAGUUAUUAUGGAAACCCAAAACAAUACCAUCUGGACCCCUCUCUGGCAGUGCAGUGUGGUACCCUCAAAGUUUGAUUGCUAGUAGGUUCAGUCUUCUGGGGCUGGAAGUCCUGAAAAAGAACAUGUUAAGAGAAUUUUAUGCUGAGUAAAACACGCAGGCUUAGGAACGAGUGUGCCUAAGACCUUGAAUUUCUUUCUGGCUCUCAGUAUGCGAGUCAUGAUUAUUUCCCUUGCGUCAUCCUCUGCAUGUGGCUUUUCAUCUUACAUUCUGGCUUUGCUCCAGGAGAUGAUACACUGCCUGAUGCCAGGGCCCUGGUGAAAGGUCACACCCAGAAUGGCCAGGCUGGGAGGAGCUCACUUAACAGUGUGGCCCCUGACUGCGUUCCGUGGUGCUCUACCUUGGUGGGGUCAAAGCAAGAGUGAAAAAUUCCAAAAGGACCUAAAAUGUAGAGUUUGGCCAGAUAAUGCAACUAGAAGGGUUUUUUUUUCUUUUCUUUUUUUUUUUUUUGGUCUGAAUUGCUGUCAGUAGGAGUGAGUGAGUUUCUGUCAUUUCCCCACCAAAUGAAAAAUGGAAUUUAUGAUGAAUGGUUGUUAAAUAAAGUGAUCUGGACUCAUUCUUUUUAGCCUAGUGAGACCCAUCCAGACCUUUUAUAGACAGUUUCUUUAAAGACAGCAUGAGAAACCUCAGUGUCCUCUGGAGGCUUUUGUAAAUGGAGGCCAACCCAGCCUUUAUUAAACUGGGUUUAUAUGUCAUAUAAUUGCCCAUUUUGACAUACCUCUUCCGGACUCUGCUUGAGCAAGGACAAAGUGAGUUGAGGAUUCUCUUCUGCUGCAAAUGCUGAGCUUGAGUGUUUUUUAUUGUUUUUGCUUCAACUUUGUCUUUUUCCAUGUUGUCCCUGAAUUUGUUAAAGUUUCUCCCUUUCUCAGUUUUUUCCCCCACCUACAUAGCUAAGUCUAGUGUUGAUGUCUAUUUCAAUCCAAUUCAAAGUACUACAGCAAACAUCUACUGAGCACUUGGUCAAUACAAAGCAUGCUGAUACUCAGAUUUCCCAUUGUGGCUCAAUAGAAACAAACCUGACUAGUAUCCAUGAGGAUGCAGGUUCUAUCACUGACCUUGCCCAGUGGGUUAAGGAUCUGGUGUUGCUGUGGCUGUGGCUUAGGCCAGCAGCUGCAGCUCCGAUUUGACCCCUAGCCUGGGAACUUCCAUAUGCUGCUCCUGUGGCUCUAAAAAAAAAAAAAAAAAGAAAGAAAGAAAAAAAAA